UACGGAGGGUGCAAGCGUUAAUCGGAAUUACUGGGCGUAAAGCGCGCGUAGGCGGCUUUGUAAGUCGGAUGUGAAAGCCCUGGGCUUAACCUGGGAAUUGCAUUCGAUACUGCAUGGCUAGAGUAUGGUAGAGGGAAGUGGAAUUUCCGGUGUAGCGGUGAAAUGCGUAGAUAUCGGAAGGAACACCAGUGGCGAAGGCGACUUCCUGGGCCAAUACUGACGCUGAGGUGCGAAAGCGUGGGGAGCAAACAGG
rnacentral:rRNA from 1 species